CCACGAUUUGCUGUUAAUGGCCAAGACAUCCCUGUACAACUAACUAGGCAGUCAACCUACAGAAGAGCAUCUGCUGGACCCUGAGUGGGGAACAGACAGGCGGAACCCUUGCAAAUGUAAAAGCCAGGAGUGGGUCAGACCCCAGAUGAAGAAAUUACCUGGUCAGAAGGACAAACUACCCUCAGCCAGACUUCCCUGCCAAAGCCUGCCUCCAGCACUGUUCCCGGCACUUGCAGGUCUGCAGGUAAGUGCUUCCAUCAAGAGAACUUUGUGGCCAUCUUAUCAUGUCUUGUGUCAUCAGUAUCUGUGUGGCUGACUGAGUCCCCAGGCAGUGAUCGUUCUCCAGCUGAGAGCUUGGCUUUCCAGCAGUGGCUUGGUCACUUCCUGAGAGCAAGUAGCCAGACAUGACUGCCUUCUUUCUCACUGCUUUCUCCUGUAUUUCACUGAUUUUAUCCACCCUGCUAAAACUAAGAGGUGACUUUUAGAUGAUCGAUGCAAUGAAUUUCAUGCUGUAUCUCCAGUAAGUGAAGUAUUUGCUCCCCAUUUUUCACCUAGCUACUGGGAUCAGACUGAUUACUAGAAUAUACACUAAUACCUAAACAUUUUUCAAGCCAAAUCUAUUAAUUACUUUUUCUGUUAUCUGUCUGGCUCUCCAAAUAAAUAUAUGAAAAGCAGAGUAGUCAGGCACAUGACACGAUCUGCUAUGUAAAUCACUCUGUAUAUCCUAAACCAUUUUCUAGCACAAUGCUAACUAAUUUAUAUCAGAGCACCCAAUAGUUAUUAAUGUUAUUGAUAUAUUGAUAUAAACUUAAUUCACUAAUAUUUCUCAAGUUAACAAUAUCUGACUCAUGACUAAAUCAGCCUCUUUGUUUUUUGCAAAAUAUUUGGAAAUAUGAUGUCAUGGGUUCUUGCUAAAGGUGCAUGUAAUGAUUCAAAUGCAUUUCCCUUCCAGCAAUGGAGGGUGGCACUGUGGAAGUAUCCAAGGCCUACAUGUGCAAACUCUUUCCACUUCUCUUCUGAGCCCACCAAAACAUACGUUUACCUAAAGUCUAACAAUUAUCUUAUUUCAUUGUGAAAAUGCCAAAAUACCACUUUCCAUCUGUAUUCUCUAAUGCCUUUGUGUUUCCUCCUCAUUACAUCAAUGGGUGGCCGUGUGUCGCCUCACCUCACUUUGUGUUUCUCAUGGAGCUUUCAGUUAACCAGGCUGGAACCAAUAAUUUUGGUAGCUCUUCCCCCUCCAGAAAUCCAACUCUUACUGUACAUCCAUUUUUAAAAAUGUGUUAUUGAUACUUCAGGGGACUUCAGAAAUCCACUCCGUUGUGUCUACAGCCAAGGAAAGGAGUUUGCCUGUCACCAGGACAAAACUUCUUCUCAUGGCCAUCAGGUUGCGUGACUGCAGAGGUGUGGGCUCUUGCUGAAGUCCUCUGAGACAAACCAGAAAAUGUGGAAUUGAAUGGGAGACCGGCUAGCAUAAGACUUUAAUUCAAGCACAGGGGAUAUUUUGGUGACAAUUUAUAUAUAUACAUAUAUAUGCAUGAAUAUUGGGUGGGCUCUCACAUCUCCAACUUGGAGUCAUUUGAAGUUUGCCAGCCCUCGUGUCUUUCAUUAGUCAAGGAUGUUUGCUUCCAUUUCUAUCCAUUUCUCUUCUUUUGUUGCCUUGAAGGAAACAAUGUAUUACAGAGGGGCUGUUUUACCCUCAGAAAGUAUACAGCAGGGCAUUUAACUCUGAUGCUUCUCCUGACACUGUAGCCUGAAAUUCAUCUGUAAUCCCACCUAUUCGUCCUCCGCUGGUUUAACCCUUUGUUAAGGGAAUUACCUCUUAUCUGUGACACUGUUGGUCACAGUGAAAUACACACAGAUGUGUCUGAAAGACGUGGUGAAUUCUGCCAUAGUUUCUCCCAGAAGGAGUUCAGCUAAACUUGCUGACCACAAUUACCUGAAAAUGUUUGGAGCCUUUUAUUCACUUAAUUUUGUUUAACCCCUUCCUAAUUGCAAUCAAGGUUUUGAUUCUCCAUUUCAGAUGUCUCUGAGAAAUGUUCAGGUAAAGCCAAAAUAGCUUACAGAGGCUAAGGAGGUAGUGAAGACUGCUUGUCCUUUGAGGUGCAUACUGGUCCAUCUCCAAAUGGAAGCACUACCCACCACUUUGAGUGAGUUGCAACUGGCUGCAUGGCAGGCAGAAAAGACCCUCGCUGGAGAAGGGAGAGGGCUGCCAACAGAACAUUUUGCCAAUGCCCACUGGCUAUGGAGCCUGUCCCUAGCCCCAGCGGUGUGAAACAGCUCAAAUAUCUUUGACCCUUCCAGGCACGAUGUAAAAAACCAUCUGUACAUAACAGCUUUGCAGGAGGCCUGAUGGCAUGGGAUUUGGAGCUGGGUGGAAUGGGGUAUAUUCUGCCACUUGAUUUAUUGGCUGGCCAGAUUGAUUUGCUUUUUCUGUGCAGGAGGAUCAUUAUGUUGCCAGGUGUUUAUUCCAAUUGGGCUGUGAAUCUAGAUAAUUGCCAGGGCACCUAGAACUUGUGAAUAACCUUUUAUGAGAGCAAACCAAAACCUAAAUCUAAAUGUACAAAACCAAAUGAGGAUCAUAGCAGAAUGGCCUUCGUUUGCUAUCGGUUGAAUGUCAUAAAGUAGAACAAAAAGGCACCAGCCAGCAGUCUCAAGCCCUGUACAACCCGGUGGGUCCCAGGUUUUGUCAUCAGCUCUUCCAGCAGAUGGUCUGCAUGGCCUUGUUCAGUAUCUCCUCCUGCUUUCCCCAGGACGAGCCAUGUGGGCUGGGACAAGAAGGCUGUGUAUAGCUUGGGGUGAUUGCCCUAUAUAUCACAGGCCUGGGGACCUAUCUGCUCAGCUGAUGCACACUGUGGCUUGACUAAUACAGCUGCUUUUUCUUAAAUAACAGUUGUUAUUCCUGCACGUGGUGUGCCUUUUUUCUUCCCACAUUGCUGAUGCAGCCAGUAGAUGUCUGAGAGUUGCUGAGCACUUGGGCAUAGCACAGGGGUAUGUCCUACUCAGUCCCUUAGGACUCGAUAACUUCCCUUCAGCUUUUCAGUGAUGAUGCAAUAAAUUACUCAGCAAUAGAAUUUAAUUGCACAGCUGAAUACUUCAUUUACAAGGCUUUUAGUGUCCCCUACUAAAUUCUCCACUUUUUCAUCUAAUCUCUGUAGGCUGCUGUGACGUUUUCAGAGACCUGUACUGUUUUCAUUCCUGGUAAAUGUAUCAAUAAAUCACAGUAGGAGAAAAAGCCCUGACAUCUAUCCAGAAGUUUUCACUGCAGCUCCCAGCCAGCACCAUGUUCCACGGGUCAGCCGAGAGGCACUUUGCCAUUGCUCUGUAAUUACCAUGGAACCCCUAAUCCAGGCCACAAAUUCCUCCCUGCCCAUACUCCUUUUUAUUUCAGAAUGCGUAUCUAAUAGCAACCAAGGACUUUUCCUAUUUUCUCACUUGGAAUCUGUUUUGGGAGCUUGGAAUUGCUAUCUAACUCAAUCAGUAACAUCUGUGACUGCAGGGCAGCCUGAGUGGGAACGGUUAGGGGGUUAGACAGAUUUCCUGCAUUUUAAGGCUCUUUUCCUCUGAAGAGACUGCUUCAGGACAAUCCAAUUGCCUUUAAUGCUGCUUCUUCCCUUCUUCAUUUUAACCCUGUCUUUUCUCUCCCUUUCUUCCUCCCCUCCACCUCACUCAAGUUGUUUGGGUUUCAGAAGUAAAAAUGAUUUUAAGGACAUAUGCCAGCAUUUUGAAAAGUUUCAGUUUCAAACACAUGAAAAGGAAAGUCUGAAGGGAUUCCUAGAACUGUACUGCAGCUUGCAGGUAUGGCUUUGAUUUUCUUUUUGGCAGGCUUUCGCCAUCCACUCUUUCAUUGCCCUUCCAGGAAACACUGCUGGGUGCCUAAAGACCGGCGCGCUUCUUACACUUGGCAAGAGAAGAUAACAGUAAUGCUACAGCUUGGGCUUUGAAAGAUUAAAAGCAACAUUUAUUCCUUACAGUAUUUUCAAACUUCUUCAAGUUAAUUUGAAAUCCAUUUUAGAGAAUGUUUAACUAGUAAUACUGAUUUAUUUUUUUUUAAUUUCGAAUAUAAUGUACUUGUUAUUUAAACCAAGUAAGAGAUAGAUUAAAGUAAGCGCAGUUCUUCAAAGUGCAUUAAAUGCUUUGAGCAGUCCUUUCCCUGUGCUGGAAGAAAUACCCCGUGCUUCUGGGACUGGUCUCUUUAUGAUAUCUCUGUAAAAGCCCUGGCAAGAAAAGAUCGUGUUUUGAGAGCAAUUUCCAAUUUUUCAGAAACUUUUUGUACCCCUCCCCCUUUCGGUGGCUGACCAACCUCACUGCUAGCCAAGUAGAGCACAAGACUCUCCCUUCCCCAGUUUGUGGGGCUGCUGAUAAAUUAUUCAUACCGCUAAUGAGGAUUGAGAAUUUUCAGGCAUUUUUAAAGGCUUGCAUCACUUCGUCAACAUUUCUUUCACACCUGCAUGCUUCAGGCAGUCAGGUGUUUAAAAUUACCGACACAGAGCUCUGCCCUUCUCCCCCUGAAAGUGCUUUGCUCAACAGUGGAGUCCUGUGGCUAUUUUGUCUGUUUGUCUGCGUGAGGUUUUUUUCUGUGCUAAUUAGCGUGAGGGGAAAGGGGACUCUGAGAGGACUGUGUUAAUUACCAAAAGGGAUCAUGUAUCUCAGCUUAUAUUAAUUUUGAAAUGACAAGACACAGGUGCACAUUUAGUGGCAGUGAAUGAAUGUUAGCAUUUAAAGGCCUUUUUUUUUCUUUUUUUCCUUCUUUUUUUUUUUUUUUUUCCCCCUCCAAUGGAUGGAUCUUCCUUUAGAGGGAGUUAUCAGAAGGAACAAUCUCAAAGUAAGGAAGCCCCUGCUGAAGCUAAGAGCUACAUGAUAUGAAAGGACUGAUUAUGUUUAUAUUAUGUGGUCUCCUGUGAAAAAAUCAAGCCUCCCAGCUAGUAGAGAAAGGUCACUGGAUCUGAGGAAACAACUGACUCAGUGUCUUAAUUCUGAAGGAAAUGAGUCCUUUGUAGAUGAGAGGGAUUUUCUGAUCUAGUUCAGAGAAAGGCAUAGAACUAUGAAAAUAAGUUUUUUAUGUAGGGUUGGAGAAUAAAGAGGAGAAUCAGAAAGACUAGGAAUGGGAAGGUAAAAAAAGUCUCCCAUAUAGGUUUUUUUUUUUUUUUUUCUACAUUUAAAUAUUCCACGGGUGACUGGAAGUGCUGUAUUAAUCUCCGUGCCUCCGUGCAUCAUCCGUAGCACCCUUAAAAAAACUUGGUGGAACGAGAGUGUCUGAAGAGGACAUUUGGUAUGUAUGUAUUGCUCUUUGAAUAUAGACUUCAGCCUAUAUUUGAGCCCUGUCUUGCCUCCAACUCACCUUUUGUGUAAUUGAGUUUUCAGUGGCUUUGGCUGAAUGCAAAGGUUAGAGUUGGCAUCAGUGAUGGCCCAUUGUAUCCUGGGGAGUGUCUUGGGGUAAGCUGGGCCCCUUCACUUUGCUUGGGCACUGCGCAUACUGACUGGGGGUCUCAAGCAUACAAUUCCUUCCCAUAUAUCACUUAGCACAAAGAAAGAGGGAGAGAUAGGCAGGGUGAAGCAGGAAUGCUUACACAACAGUGUGGGUUUCCACAGCAAAGACUGAAGGCAGAUGAAUUUGGCUAUAAACAGGAAAAAAUGAAGCUAAAUUUAGCUUGUUCCCUUACUUGGUGUCAUAAGGUUACUGUGGGCAUAGUUUCUGUGGCCUUGUAUAGGUACACAGGAAUGCAUGUGUGCUAGUAGCCAAGCUGUUUUGGUGAAGACCAUGAUAGUUCUGUGAUAUUACAAAAAGUGUAGGAAUCUAAAUCCUCAUAUAAACUGCAAGAGCAUCAUGAAGUACAAGCUCUGUAAAUCUUUACAGAUACUGGUCACUUGAAACAGAUAUACUUGUGAGCUUUGAUGUAUAUGCCAAUCAUUCAGUCAUUCUUGGAUAACAAUUUUGCUCUGAAAUAAAACCAACUGACUAACUGGGGAUAACUUUAUGCCCUAGCAGGAAGUAUAGAGCAUGCUUAGUACUAUGCUUACAAUGAAAGUGGCCAUUUUGAUAAAGCAGAUCACUGUAGAAGCUGAUCAGAAAUGCAAAUGCAAUAGAAAAUUGUUUUUAAUGGCUUUUGAGGAAAUAUUAAGAUUUAUUCGUGUAGAGACCUACUCAGCAUGUUGCACAAAUUCCUGUUAGCACACUAAUAAGUCAAUGUGUUACCAAAUGUUUAGUCAUUAUAAUUACAGCCACGUAUUGUCCUUUUUACAAAUAGGUCUGGCUUAAUUGCACCAUUUUUCAGCAGGAUUUAUGUGGUCCUGUUUAAUCUAAAAUUAGUACAUGCACAAAUGAAGUGCAAACUAUUUUCCAUCACUGAACUGUGAAAUAUUCUCCAGAAUAGAGAUAUACCAAUGUGUUCUGAAAAAGAUGCAAUAAGCAGUCAGGCAACUUUGUGAUUUGUCUGUUUCUAUACAAUUUGCUAGAACUAAAAAAAAAAUACACUAAAACAUACAUUAACGGCCAACUGAACAAAAACGUAAGUUAAAUGAUCUAAAUUGAGCAGUACUGUUUGAUCACCACCAGUUAGAGGAUGGGGGAAAUCAUAAAUCUAUCUUGAUAUUGCUAGCUUUCAGCAUUUAAGUACAGUAAGAGAUGGUGCGUUUAAUAUAUCACAUCCAUCUAUCACAUGUAAAUGUAUCGCAUUUCUAAGAUGCUCUGUAGGCCAAGUUGUGAAGGCCUAAAUUUUAAGUUACUAUGACUAAUAUUUCUUAUUACCCACAUAGCUCUGAGAGCCUAAAGAUGCACGUAGGACAUGGUAGACAUAUAAGUGGGAGCUGCUUGAACCUGGGACAUGUGUAGCAAUUGCAAUACGUACAUAGUGAUGUGAUAUUUGAAAUAUGUGUGAUUUCUAAGAGUAUUGUAACUUAGACAUUAAAAUCUAAAUGCAUGGCUGAAUCCCGCUUGGAUGUAAAGGCCUAACGCUGGCUGAAAUCUUGGUUCUACUUGCAUCUAACAGGAAAAAGUUUAUUUGUCUUCAGUAGAGCUUUGGUCUUCUUGUGUAGAAUAGAGACUGUCUGACUACUCUGAGGAAAUGUGCUGGUUUUUAGGGCGAAUCAGAAAACCAACAAAAGUUCCCAUGUUACCUGAGUACUAUUAUGGUAGUGCUAAGGACAGUUCUGUCUCUAAACAUGGGAGAUUCUUCAUGUUGUCUUCCUGUCGGUAUUCGUAGCUGCAGUGUAGAUAAAUGCAGUUUUGUGCAGUAUGAGUUUGAUGUAGAAAGUAGGAGAAUGUCUCUAUUAUUAAAAAUAUAUGAGGAUUGAAUAUAGCUCUUGGUUCAAAUCUACUCUUGGUUUUUGUGGUUUGAAAUUAUUUCUUUGUAUGCUUCAAUGGGCCAAAAUUUUGAGGGCUUACUUGAAGUAGGGCACACAGUGACAUGUGGGGUAUGAUCUUACCCACGAGACACAUGCACUGUAGUGCGUAUGAAUGGGUUAAUAUGCUGACAAACAGUAGCUUGCAGGUCACUGCCAUUUCUCUCUGCUUCAGCAUGUCACCACAGUAAUUCACACUCUGAAACCUUAAGGCUAUAUCUGGUAACGUUCACUUCUUCAUGCUGCAAAUAGAAGCUUCAGCAGAGCUGUCUUUUAAAUAGCACCGGCCCUGAGCGAGCACAGCGAUCCUUGGGGAUCAGAACCAUCCUCAGUGUGGCUUACAGCGGUGUUUGUGAUGUGUAUUAUCCCAAAGCUGAAAGUACUGAUGCACUAGUGAGAGGCUCAUCCUUCUCUGCAGUUCUUUGCCCCAAAUGCUGUGUGAUGACAACAGAGGUGCUCCCAAAACAGGGCCCAGGACUCCUCCGGUGCUUUAGGAUUGUGCUGAGGUUUGAACCAGUGUGACAUUGGUCCUGCCAGCCCUGACUGUCACCCAACAUCACUCUGCUCUUACCAAACAUCUACUUUUCCUAAGAAUUUUUGUAAAUUAAAGUCAAGUGCCCAGGUUGAGGGAUUUGCUACCAUCUGUAAAUGAGGUGUUUCUCAGGUAAACUUUUCCUAAAGCACUUUAAUGAAAUCAUUUAAGGACUGUUAGCUUCAUUUGAUAAGAACAAAACCUGAUCCAGGAGUAGGAUGUGGGCAUCGUAAUCAUACCUGGAGAAAUCAUAUGUGGAAAAUGAUGUGACACCAGAAUUUAGGGGACACUUUCCUAAGGAGGCAUGUUAGUUGUGGAUGUGAUGCUGGUAGUCUGGGCUUUGGGUGAAGUCCUUUGUAGGUAUAGAAACCCUCCUUAGCACAGGAAAAUGUCCUCGGAGCACAGAGCUUGAGUUUUCUGAAAUAAUGGCACUUCUAAAUGAAUGUGAGGGAAGGAAUAUGCCUUGCUAUCAAUUACUCAAGCUACUCAUUUAAUAGGUUCUGUGAUUUUGGUUGCUUCCACAACAAACAGCAUUUCCAGUGCUACAUGUUUUUUUGAACAGCUUCAGGUAGGCAGCUUAGGACUGCUCUGAUUUUGUUGUGGAGCACUGUUUCCCUUUAGCAUGUUCUCCACAUAGGGUGACCUACCUUAGCCUGCCUGCAUGCCAGGGGAUGAUCUCCAUCUGUUGGACACAUGUCAUGUGAGCUGCUGACCUGCACUGCAGUAGCACCCUGCAGCACCCGCAAGAUGCUCCGCUGGCUGCUGUGUGAUACGGAGCAAGGAGCACCUGCAGCAGCCUGGAGGAAAAUGGGUCACUCUUGUAGGUACCUUAAAAUAUGAAGGAAAAUUCCUCCUGAAAGCUGUGGAGCUGGAAGCAGUUAUUUAAGUCCUUUUUAUGCAGAAGGGCUGCUCUUGCCUUAGUUCACAGAAAUUAAUGCUGAAGGCACCUGGACUCAAAGGAUGGAAGCUCUGCUCGCUUUUCUCAAGUUGGUUAUUCUGAUAUUUCUGGUGCAUCUUGAAUAUGUAGAAGCAGCAAAACUUGUCUCAAGGAAUAAAGGCAUCAGCACAGGAAGAGGACAGAUGGUGCAUGUUCCUGAAACUGAACCACGGCUCCAUGUUCCCAAAGAAAGUGAAUCCCACAAGGUAGAUGUGGUUUUAAAUGAACUGGGGACACUGACAGUUGAGAAAAGAAGGAAUGCCUCAGGUGAGUGAUUGUCCUGUGGGGUGUCAGACCUGGCCAUCCUUGGUCAAGUUGGCCAUGGGAAAUCUCUCCCCAGGAGGGAUGAGUUGCAGUGGUAUGAAGAGGAGCUGGUGGAGGAGCUCUCUCAGGCUUCCCGCAUUUGCACAAACUGCUUCAUGGUUAUGUUAUGUGCUGAUGCUGUCUUUCUGUUCAUUUCGUUUAAAGGUAGCUUUUAAAAGAAGAGCCUGGAGCAGUUUUGUGCUCACAGGAUGCUCUCUGCUCCUUGCAAUCCUGAGGCCUCAAAACCCACUUCACUUGCCUGGGGGUGCUGAGAUGCUGUACGACUGGCUUUCCUGGGCUGCACUCCAGCUGCGCAGUGUCUUGUGUUAAACUAAUUUAUUCUCUCCAAAGAGAUUACUGGCAUUUAAAUGGUUAUUAAUUAAGGAGAAUUUGUGUUUUUCUCACCUGAUUUUUUUUACAUGCUUGGAAAUAGCAUUUAUUCACGCAAGUUUCUGCUGAAAAACGACUUAUUAAUUCACCUCAGCCUGUGGCCAGCAGUCUUUUGAAGCAAAAGUGCAAGGACUGGUGUAGGUAAGUUACAUGUGUUGCACAGGGAAGAUGUUUUCCUGGCUCACACUGGUAGAGGAUGAUAUUCUCUGAACUGUGAGAGUUCCUAAACCUUCCAGAAGACUUCUGCUUGAUUUUCAAGCUUUAUUAUGGUAAGUUGACAUAUUUUUUUAUUUGUUCCUAGAAGAAUUGGUCUUGGAGUGAGGAAAAAAAUACAGAUUAAAUGAGAGUUAGAAUCAUAAGUUUACCAGUUUGCUGGAAGUGUGCAUCUAUGUAUUUUUUUUCAAAUUUCUGCACUGCAAUAGAUUUUUUUUCUUAAUUCCAGAAUGUAUUUGGAGUGUUUCUUUAUCUCUGAUUCCUGUAGGCUGUCUGCAACUACUCUAGGCUGAGGAUGAGCUUGAAAAGAAUACAUAUAUGCUCCUGGAAUAUAAAUUAAUCCUUAACUUCUCCAAGUUAAAUUGGUGAUAAUAUUUUUUACCUUCUCAGAUACCAGUUAGUGUCACAAAUAAACCCUGAGUUGUUGUGAAGGAUCAUCUGAUUUCCUAGAUUAAUCCAAAAGAUAUGCUUUCAGAUCUUGAACCCUUCUCCUUAACCUCUGUUCCAAACAUAGUUUAUGCUGAGAUGAAGCAGAGACAAAUACACAAUAGAGCCUAAAUAUUGCUGCCUAAUAGGAACAACUGAGGGGUGUGUGCUAUAUCUUCUCAUAGCAACCAUAGGCCACAUUUCAGAUAUGGGGACUGAAUGGAUCCCAUGCAAUAGUUUCCAUGGUUGCACAGGGUUUGGUGUACCCAGUGACAUUAAUAUUCAUGUCCUUAAUAAAAUAACUUGUACAAAGACAAUUCUUCCCUGUUUAUUUCCUAUCUUAAACAAUUAUUCUGUAGAUGUUCAAAUGGAUUUAAGAUAUGAAAGUUACAUUAAAACGUACAAUUUUUUUUUUAGCAUGGACUGAGCCUUUCAUACUUAGGUAAGCAAAACUUCAGGUGCCUCUCCAGUAGCACUGUAUGAUUUGGCUGAUGAAAUAAUGAUUCUUUUCCUUUACCAGCUUAUUAUUAUCAAUUAUCAUAACAGAAGUUAGAUAGCCAUUUUUUGUCUGGCAAAGAUAAGUAUGUUGAUGAUGGCUGAUAGUGUUUGGAAGAAGACAGCGUGAGGCUGAGAGUUUAUAGGUGGGGUCACAGUUGUGAAAAGUAACUUACCAUUUUAAGCCCAGUAAGUUGUGCUGGAUCAAUGAACAAUCCUUUAUAGGGCAAUGCCCACUAGUGUCUUUUAAUACCAGGUUGAAGAUUUUUGCCUUUGUUGUCAUCCAGGUUUCUCAGAGGCUCUCCAUCGUUGGAGGCUGUCCAUUAGCUCAUGUUUUAUGUCCUGAAAAACCUCAGCUCUAUAUUUUUGUAACCUCUGUGAUAACAGCACUCUUAAAUUACCCCUUAGCCAACAGUCAUAGAGAAGUCCUCAGUAAGUGCUGUUGUGCUUGGAUAGUUCCACUUGACCAGGACUUCCGUGUAAACUAAAAUCACAAAUGUUUGGGCUUUAUGAAAGACUCCUUUUAUAGUACCAGUAAUUUGUGGAUGCCCUCCUAGUGCUGGGAUAAACCAUGCCAAUAUGAGGUGUAGGAUCACAGGGAGUCCUUGCUGUGGGAAAUAGGCAUUGUGCAUCUGCUGAUUUACUGGAGCAGUGUUCUGGCAGUUGUGUUUGACGUAUCAAGUCUCAGUGGGAAUAUCUAGCUGUACUUGACCAUGGGGCUCAUAUAUCCAUCCCAUAACCAUAGACUGAAAUUUGCAGAGGUCUCAGAGAGCUCUUCAGAAAUACAACACAGUGCUUUAAGAAAUUGUCCACAUUUGUGUGGCUUUGAUAUCUAUAAUAGCUAGUAGCUACAGAGAAGUAAUCAAUGCUGACUUCUGGCCUCUGCUAUAUGGCUGAAAAUCUGUGUGAGUGUGUGGAGCUCUGUAAACUUCCCAGUGAUUUAUCUGAAGCAUUUAUUAUCUGGCUCACAGAUGUGUACCAAAGCACUGUUUACAGAGAAGCUCAGUGUGCAAGAAGUUGAAUUUUUAGCUUGUGUAAACUGUUGUUUUCCCCCCCAAAGUCUACAAAGUUACCAUUUGACAUACCCCAGCAGAGGAUCUGGUCUCUAACAAACUUUCAAUGUAUUGUUCUUGGCUGCAUCUAUGAAUUUUUUGAGUGUGCUGAAGCUGGGCUCUGAAUGCAUUCAUUCAUAAACGACUGUAUAAAUGAUCAAACACAAGGCUUCUUGAUCUCAAGUGCAAUAAAUCCUCUGCUUGCAGGUUUACUGGAUGGUAGACUACCAUAGAAAUACUUCCUCCCAUAUGUACAAGGAAGCUGGACUCAAGUAUUGCUCACUUUGGAAAAAUGCCCCUGCAAGUUCCUGAAUUUCUUUGGCACGCAUAACAGAGUGGACAGAAGCAUCUCAAUCUUCACGUGUGGUGGUGUUGGGCCAGGUACAGCCUGCCUACAUGGAUCAUGUCUCCAGAGACACUGCUUACUGCUUUGGGUAAAGCAGUGGCAGUGGAGAAGAAGCAUUUACCUGAAUAUCUGCAAAAUGCAAGCAGAAGGAAAGGUGACUAAUUUUAAAACCAGUAUGUGUUUGGAUAAACUUAUUUUUGUAUUUCAAACCUUUUGUUAUAAAAACAUUAUAUAGAUUAUUAAUGAAGCCUUACCACUGUUUACGUUUCUAUCUGGGUUUGUUCUGCAUUUGGCAGAUUUCUUUACUGAGCAGUUGUAAAGCCAUAGAACAAAGCUGAUGUGAAAUGGAUUUUGAGACACAAAAUAAGUAUAGACUUCUCCUUGGACAUAUUACUUUUUUUUACCAGUGAUCAAAGUAGUUAUAUUCACAUAAGAAUUGUUUAAAGGCAAUGUUUCAAAGGGUGUUUAUAACCAGAAACCUGCACAAUGAAGACUAACAACAAAAGUAAAGAUCAGAACAUUUUCACCCUUUCUGGGAUUUUAAGUGGAUGUUAAUUCUUUCUGCAACAACGUAUGACCCCAUUUCAUGGGAAUAGCAAUACUCAAAUCUGAAUUCAGUCAAAGUGAGCACUUAAAAAUAUUGUACAAGGGGGAUUUGCUUAACCCACGUACAUCACUGUGGAUGUUUCCCAUGUGACACUGGCCAAAAUUUUUCAAAUAAAAACCAUCUUCAUCAAGUAUUCCUGUGAUGCAUAUCUCCCUUGCAAAGGGCAGAGUAACAGUAACAAGUGGGAAAUAUAGACAUCAGAGGCAAUAUUUCCUAGGAGAAACACUUUUAUUCCGGGAUAAAAUAUUUUAACUUCAAAUUUCUUAACUCCUUUCAAAUUCUUUUUCUAUGGAGUUGCUCAUCACUUAAUGCCACCACUGGUAAGGUUUGGUAGAAGCCCUGUGCAUAUGCUUGAAGGUACAAACCCACAUCUUCUCAAGGACAUGUUGUCAACUCCUCUUUCUCCUUUCAUUAGCGGGGUUAUCUGCUAAUUGUGGUAAGCAGAAGUUUCUUAUCAGAGUGAUCCAUCAGAACUACCUUAGCAGUAAUUGAUAUGUAACUUAUUCAAAUGUGAAUGGUUUUUGAAGUAUGGCUUUUGAAGUUUUCCAGGGUUUAUCAUGCAUGCCGUGCCUUCCUACAUUUAACUGGCAUAACUAUUUAAAAAAAAAGAGCCCCAAAUCUGGCAAAUUAUUGAUUGGAUUGCUCUGUGCAUCUGUGUUAACCUGUGUACCACCCUUCUUUGCGUGGCUGCUUGAAAGUUUAAUAGACAGUCCCGCCUUUUGAGUAGGAAUUUUGCCAGCAACAACAAGUGGGACAGGAUUAUUGACUGUCUGAGGCAAAGAUUUGAAGAUAAUUGUUGUGUUUAACUGUUAAUUCUAUGGCAUUAUCACAGUAAGUUGUCGAUGCAUAUAAGAAUUGUUUGAUGUCUAUCCAUACACACUUGCACACGUGCACGCACUUGCCUGGGCGAAUCCAAAUUAUUCUGCUAAUAUGUAUGCAAAAGACUCGCUGUGUUUUCUUAUUUGUAAUCAGAAAACAUUUUGAUUUAUGUCCUGAUAAAGGGAGCUAUUCCAAACACAUCACCAAGUAGUGUUUAUGACUGUGUUCAUCUUACAAACUGAUCAGUACAUCCUUGUACACUUGCAGCUGUGGUUCAAGGUGCUGAAGAAAUGCCAAAGGACAAGCUAAUGCUGCAUGUUGCUAGCCACCUGCUGCAGGAUACUUCACCCAUUUGGAGAACCGUGCAUAGAACACUACCACCUUCAGUCAGCAGGAUGUGUCUGAUACGAGAGCUGCUACCUGCCACCUGAUGUGUCUCACCCUGGGAGACAGGACGAUGAAGUAAUGGAGCCUGGCUGUCUGCAGCCAGGGCUGCUGUACUACAUCCAAAGCAAGCUUGAAGUCAGCAAGUGCUGCAUUAAUCUUUCUGGGAGUGUUUGUUUUGCUUGUUUUGUUAGGCUACAUUUCAAGCAACUGAUAAUGUGUUCGUGAGCAGUUCUCCUGUUGCAGCCCAUUUUUCAAAGGAAGUGUGAAGACCGAUGCUCCAAAGGUUUGGUGGAACAUGAGUGUGAAGGGUUAUGUAUGAUCAUGCUUGAAAUGUGUGAGCUGACAGUGCUUUCAAGUGCAUGUUAAUAUGUCUGUGCAGGUACUUUUGGGAUAGAGAGGUUAUGGCUUUGUGUGAAGUCUGAUCAGUGUUUUAAAAAAUACACCUUUGUCAUGGUUCUUCUUUAUGGAUGCUAAUUGUGCUAGUGCAGCUACCUCACUGCAAUUGAGUUGUGUAUUUAUUUACUUACUGAUAGUCAAGUCUUCUAACUAAUCAAGGCUAAACUCUGAAGCUUUCUGAGGAUUAAACAAUAAAUGCUUUAUUGCUUAAAGCUUUUUGAGCAUUGAAAUGCCUGAGAUUUUUGGAGGUAAAUGUCAGUGUAUAUGGCUUGUUGCUACCUGAACUUGCAGUGUCACUGCUCCGUCCAUCUGUGUUACUGUUGUUACAGUUCUAUAGAGUUCUAUAGAUGUUUCAAAAUAUUUGUGCCUUUAGUUCCUACUAGUCAGAAAGGAAUCCCCAAGAACUUUUAAGGAUGUGGAAAAUUCAGAUACGAUUCCAGAGCCUCCCGGAUCAGUUGAAAAGGAAAAUACAUAUAUUUUUUUCUGGACUCUUUUCUCUUUUCAAGAAACCAUGUGCUGAUUUGAGGGGGAAAAAAAAAAUAGCAAUGUAGAAACAUUGCUGUAGAGACAAGUCAAGAGAAUUGUAGCUCCAGAGUGAGAAUACAAGGAAGCGUUAAGACCUUGAGGUCUUUUAGACUGCUUAAGUACUCUGAAAGAAUCAGUUAUUGUGGAUGGGAUGUUGGCAUUUAUGAUGUGGUGAUCUCUCAGGAUAACACAAACCCAGUGGCUGUUUCAUGUGUGCAUACUUACCUGGAAACUUUGAGAAGAAAUCUUUUAUUUAAAUAUGAUCUUUUCAGCUGGGAGCACUCUGAAAGUAGUACCAAACAAGACGGUAUUUAAAACAAUAGUAAUAAUUCUUUCCUUGAUGAAAAUGUGAAAGAAAUGGAACAGUGCAUUGCUUUUCUGAUAGUUUUCUGUCUGUACUUUGCGGUUUUCCUCUCUGUUAUCAUUACCCUACUCUUCCACCUUUUCCUAGUCACAAUACAGAUGAUCAGAAACACAGAAAUAAGGAAAAAAUAAGCUUUGAAAUCCACCAGUCUGGGGGCUGAUUGCACAUGUUUUUUGUUUCUUUCUGGUUUUCAGUAACAUUUCUACCCUGAAGUCAAAUCAUCUGCUUAGCAUCUUGCUCUGGAAGGACCCACAACUGCAGCUCUGGCACACAGAGAACAGGACGCCUAAAUGGGGAAUGCUGGUGCUCAUCCACUCCUGCUGCGUGAAUGAACACUGUGAGAAUUCCCUUGACACAGGAAAGUGUUGUGGUAUCAGACUCAACAUUAAUUGGUGUGGUAACAGGAGGGUUCCUCCAGGCUCAAGAAACAUUAUAAAACCCCCCUUCUCCAAAUCAGCUGCUAACAGUCAAUUUAAGAGAGCUUCACAUCUUGUAUUCUGCUGCAUACAUCUUUUUGAAGUGUAAUGCCAAUCCUGACCUCUGUGACACACCAUCUUACAGUUACAUAGUAGGACAGUCAUGUCCUAUCAUGUAAGACACCCUACAAGCUGCUGCAAAUGACAGUGGGGAGACUGUACAGCUCUUGGUGAUGCAAGGUCCUUGAUAUGGACUUAUCACACUGUGAGGUGUAUUGUGGCAGAUGGGGGUUAAACUGUUGGCAAUCCAGUGCCUACAAAAUCUAAGCAUGGUUUCUCUUGCAGGACUUAUCCUCCUAAUUUUCUUGAGAAAGGAUGGAGUCUUUUGUAUAUUACAUAGAAAGAAUAACAGAAGUUCUUUGGAAAAACAAAAUAUAUGCUCUGCGAUUUCUGAAGUGAGAGUACACAGAGUUCAGGCAAGUUACUAAGAACAGUCCAAUGUAUAGCUGAGAGUGGGGGAAUAACCAUGUCACUUCUUUGGAAACUCAGCAGAAGUUCACUGAAGUGGAUGAAAAGGCUCCUGUUGGUUUUAAGUGGAUUCAGCCUUUACGCAGUGAACAGAAGACAUGUGUCUUAUCUGCUUAAACGUGAAAAUGUUAUCGGUAAUUUAUUUUGAUAGAAAGAGC
ensembl:lncRNA